rnacentral:lncRNA from 1 species
GAAAAAACAAUGAGGUCUCUAAUGGCCUCCGCAACAGUCACUCUUGUGUUAGCAAUACUGUCUCUAAGCUUGCCAUCUCAAAUCUCAGCUGAUACCUACUUGUACUCAUCACCUCCUCCUCCCAAGAAGCCCUAUUAUUAUCACUCUCCUCCACCACCUUCACCUCCUCCACCUAAGCCAUACUACUAUCAUUCACCACCACCACCUUCACCUCCUCCACCCAAGCCAUACUACUAUCACUCACCACCACCACCUUCACCUCCUCCACCUAAACCAUACUACUAUCACUCACCACCACCACCUUCACCUCCUCCACCUAAACCAUACUACUAUCACUCACCACCACCACCUUCACCUCCUCCACCUAAACCAUACUACUAUCACUCACCACCACCACCUUCACCUCCUCCACCUAAGUCAUAUUACUAUCACUCACCACCACCACCACCCAAAAAGAAGCCAUACUACUACCAUUCUCCCCCACCACCUUCACCACCUCCUCCUAAGCCAUACUACUAUCACUCUCCCCCACCGCCUUCACCUCCUCCACCUACGCCAUACUACUAUCAUUCUCCCCCACCACCCUCACCACCUCCACCUAAGCCAUACUACUACCAUUCACCACCACCCCCACCGAAGAAGAAGCCUUACUACUACCACUCUCCACCACCACCUUCACCUCCUCCUCCAAAGAAGCCAUACUACUACCACUCCCCACCUCCUCCCAAGAAGCCCUACAAAUAUUCAUCUCCCCCACCUCCAGUGCACCCUUACCCUCAUCCUCACCCCCAUCCCCAUCCACACCCCCACCCUCACCCUCCCUACGUUUACAAAUCUCCUCCCCCACCCCCUAAGAAGCCAUACAAGUACCCAUCCCCACCACCUCCAGUCCACGUUUACCCUCACCCUCACCCGCAUCCACACCCUCACCCUCAACCUCACCCCCAUCCACAACCCCACCCUCCCUACAUUUAUCAGUCUCCUCCACCACCCCCUAAGAAGCCUUACAAGUACCCAUCGCCUCCACCUCCCGUCCACCCAUACCCCCAUCCCCACCCUCUUCCUCAUCCCCACCCUCACCCUCUUCCACAUCCCCACCCUCUUCCCCAUCCUCACCCUCUUCCUCAUCCCCACCCUCUUCCCCAUCCUCACCCCCUCCCUCCUUACACUCCUCAUCCAAUCUAUCACUCUCCAUCACCACCACCACCUUACAAGAAGCCUUACAAGUACAAGUCCCCUCCACCACCUCCACACUACAUCUACGCAUCACCUCCACCUCCUUACCACUCUUAGACAGUGGUCAACUAGCAUAGUUCUAUGGUAACCUUCUUCAUACCUACGUACAUGCUACAUUAUUAUAAUUUCUCAUUAAUGGUUCCGCAUUUUUUUACAUCUAUACUUGUUCCCAAAAAAUGAAUACCAAACCCUCGUGAUCCCUGUCAAGGUUUUUAACUUGAUACGGAAAAUGAUUUUUCUGGUUUGGUUUUAUAGGGACCACGUACCCCUCACUGAAAUUGACAGACACUAUAAUAAUAUGUGCAUGUGUUCUAAUGUUUUGUA